GAGAAACUCACCUCCUGUAUAAGGUUGGUCCCUGUCGAAUCCAAGAUCUCAUGGUCCAUCGGGAGCUGAGAUCUGAAGGAUGGAACUGACAUACAGACACCGAGGGAUAUCUGGAGUGACCAGUAUUGCUGUAUAUACAGCUUUCUUCAUCAUUUCUUCAUACUCACCUUAGGCAGGAAAGGACAUUUCUGGUACCUGAAAGAAGUUUGAUGUAUAUCAGGAAAGUAUCUCAGGUGUACUUUCUGAAACCCUAUAAUGUUCAUUGUAUUAUCUCAACCCAAUCCUUUCUACAGUAUAAUAUAUGUAACAUGGUAUCUGGCUAUAUGAACAAGGGAGGGUGAAUAGACAAAGGUCAGAAUUCUAGACAAUUCUAGACAGCUCAGACACAAACUACAUAAUGGACGAUGUAAGUAAUGAAUGUGUUUUUUUCUUUAAUAUACAAUAUAUUCGUGUCCAUAUGCAUUUCCCAUUAUGUAAGCUUGUGUGAAACCUCUGUGUGAUUAAUUAAAACGAUAUAACCUUUAAUUCAGAAUGUCUUACUUCGAUUUAUAAAUCUCUUGAAUACAUUUAUCAAUAAAAACCCUAAAAAUAAUCAGAAA